AAAAAAACAAUUAUAGGAUCUGUUUUCUUAAAUGCUCUUCCUAAUUUUUCACUUAAUCUCUCCCUAUAAAACGCUGCCACUUACAUUCAAGCCUUAAUGUAAAUCUCUCCAGUGUUCUUCUUCUCACACAGAGAUUAAUUAACUGCCAAGAUGAAGUACUCUUCUCCUUCUCCUCCUCUUCUCCUCCUCCUCCUCCUCCUCGUUUGCACCAUUUGUAGCUCGGCGAGGGAGAACAAGAGCCCUGUGGAUGAAGUGAAGGCUGGCCUUAAUGGAUACUCUUCGAGCAGCGGCAUCAAUAACCAUCACAGCAUACCCAGAGAUCAGUAUAACAAUCUCGUUGGAGGUGGCAAUGGAUCGAGUGAAGGUGGUAGCCAAGGGAGUGGAGGUGGUGGCACUAAUUAAUUAACUUAAGCUAAUACUACUAGUUCAUGUUGGACUUUGAUGAUCAACUAAUUUAAAUGCAUGGUUUUGUGAUCUAAAUAAAGAUGAACUCAUUUUCUAAUUAGAUAUAUUAUGUUUUAUUUAA